GAUGAAGAACGUAGUGAAAUGCGAUAAUUAAUGUGAAUUGCAGAAUUCAGUGAAUCAUCGAGUCUUUGAACGCACAUUGCGCCCCCUGGUAUUCCGGGGGGCAUGCCUGUCCGAGCGUCAUUGCUGCCCUCAAGCACGGCUUGUGUGUUGGGCUUCCGUCCCUGGCAACGGGGACGGGCCCAAAAGGCAGUGGCGGCACCAUGUCUGGCCCUCGAGCGUAUGGGGCUUUGUCACCCGCUCCCGUAGGUCCAGCUGGCAGCUAGCCUCGCAACCAAUCUUUUUAACCAGGUUGACCUCGGAUCAGGUAGGGAUACCCGCUGAACUUAAGCAUAUCAAUAAGCGGAGGA
rnacentral:misc_RNA from 1 species